rnacentral:rRNA from 1 species
CCAAUAGCGUAUAUUAAAGUUGUUGCAGUUAAAAAGCUCGUAGUUGAAUUUCAGGCCUGGCUGGACGGUCCGCCUUUUGGGUGAGUACUGUCUGUGGUCGGGUCCUACCUUCUGGCGAAGCGUCAUGGCCUUAACCGGCCGUGGCGGGGAACCAGGACUUUUACUGUGAAAAAAUUAGAGUGUUCAAAGCAGGCAAUCGCUUGGAUACAUUAGCAUGGAAUAAUGGAAUAGGACAAUGGUUCUAUUUGUUGGUUUCUAGGACCGUUGUAAUGAUUAAUAGGGAUAGUUGGGGGCAUUAGUAUUAAAUUGUCAGAGGUGAAAUUCUUGGAUUUAUUGAAGACUAACUACUGCGAAAGCAUUUGCCAAGGAUGUUUUCAUUAAUCAAGAACGAAAGUUAGGGGAUCGAAGACGAUCAGAUACCGUCGUAGUCUUAACCAUAAACUAUGCCGACUAGGAAUCGGGCGAUGUUGACAAAAUGACGCGCUCGGCACCUCAUG